ensembl:lncRNA UBE2R2-AS1 UBE2R2 antisense RNA 1
ACACUGACCACUUGGAACAAAUCCCAUGGUUAUCUGUGAUUUUCAUGCCCUGUUUCUGCUGGCAACCCUUCUGAGUGGGGUGACUCACUUUCCUGUAUAAAGAGUUUGAGUAGCCCAGGUAGGAGGUGGAAGCAGCCAUCUGGAAGGCCAUUGGGAUCCUUAUGUCUGUCUCUUGGCUUCAGAUAACCAGCUGGGCUUUGAUAGGAAUGAUCUGAAUGGAGACAGAAAACAGUGAAAACUAACGCUCCCCGCCCAGCCCUGUUUAUAUGAAGCAUUUGGUUCCUCUCUUGACUCUUGAGUGAUGAUGAGAUUCAGACGAGGCAUUGACAUUAUGGUAAGAAAGGGAGAAAAUGUAUCUGUCUUGUCUGUCUAUCUAUCUACUGGAUAUAUAGCUCCAAAAGCAGACAAACCCAAGGCCGUAAGGUGAACUAGGGUCUGCGUUUGGACUCCAUGAAAACAAAAUCCAUGUUGAACAAAGUGAUGUUUGUAUGCAGUGACAUUCUGGGUGACCCGUGUGUAUCUGUCCAUCGUGUGCAAGCCCUGAGCCCUGUUUCCCUCGGAAGAUAGUGAGUGGUAGCCAUCUCCUCACACGAACCACACAUGUGGAGCACAGAUGGCCCUCUCAAGGUAAUUGAUCUUACACAUUUACUGUUCACCAAACAAGUGUCUGAUGCAUACUUGGGUAUAUUCCACAGCAUGUGGACUGCGGUCCCCUGUGUUUGCCAGGAAUGCUGUGCUCCAUGUAGAGGUUUUCCUCUACUCCUCACUGCAAUUUGCAUGCUGCUCCAUGGACACUUGGAGGCCUGUGCUCUGUUCCCUGUAACUGGAAAUGUGCUCUGAACUUGUCUGUCUCCCUUGGCUGCUCCUGGCCCUUGGUACCAGCUCCCAUGGGUGUCCACAACCACUUGGGACAGAAGGUAAAGGUGGAAUUUCAAAGAGAAGCUUGCUUGGAUCUUCAGUGACAAGCUUGGAUGAGCUACAUCCCUAACAUGGGCCCUCUCAGAAUUGCCAGGAGGAGGCUUUGGCAGGUGUCACAGGUGUCACGGGGCCUGCCCUCCUCUGCUGCGUGCAGUGGAUGCAAGCCAGCCAACGUGUGGCCAGAGUGGCUGGAUGGUGUCACAGCCCUCAGAUGUCUUUCCUUCCACGUUUUUAAAAGAGUCCCAAAUAACUCACUUGAAGUGUCUCAAAGGUGAGCAAGUUUUAUGAAAAUGAAUCCUUCCUCAGUUAAUUGAUCAAAUGGGUGAAUCUUGACCCUCUCUAAUUUCUAUCCCAGGUCAGAGUGGGGAGCUGGUGUUAGCUGUGGGAUUCACUGCAGCGUCCUACCACAAAGGCAAAGAAGAUGAAAAUGCAGCGUGCAGUGCUGGGCUUGAUUCCCAAGUCGCAGUCGGGCUCCCGCUAUGGGUAGGAGGCUUUACACUCAGCCUGGGUCAGCACCGGAGCAUCCAGGCACUUCAGCUCGUCUGGGUAGUCAGCUGUGAGGAUCAGGAAGAGAUCAAAGAAAGUAGAAAUGUGGGUGAGGCCAGAGAAGGAGACAAUAAUCUGGGAUGGAACAUUGAAGAGGAACACUGCCUCUGGAGAGGACUCCAAAACGAGGCCAUGACAGAGGCACCUGAAGAAGACCUCUACAUAGGCCUCAGAUAAAGAGACCUAAGAAUGGAGGAUCCUGAGCUGGCAAUAUAAAUAUGCACAAGGGCGUGACCAGCCAGGGGGUCCUUGACUGCAACUCCCUUCAAAGACUGCAAUGCAUUGGCUGUGAACCAAGUCUGGGGUGGGCAGAACAGCCUCUCCACACCCUGUAAGCCUGCCAGAAUCCGCCUGUUAAAUUCCUGGUUGGCCUGCUGCUUGCCCCAAGUGGGGCUGCAACCUCAAGCUAGCGAAGCUGUGGAUUUGUCCUGCUCAUUUCCAAGUGUUCAUUCCCAUGUUAAGCCAACAAAGCCAAGGAUUUUCAACCCCCCAGCCACUGCUCUGAAUUGAAUCUGUUUGUAUGGCAGCAAAGCUACUAGUUUUCAUGGUCAGCCCCAUCUUACUUAAAAGUCAUUGGCUGAGCUGGGGGGUGACGGGAGCAGCCACAGGCAGAAAAAGCCACAAUCUCCUACUUGCCUAAAGAUCUAGUAGUUUUUCAAGAAUA